CUAUCCCUCUUAUAAAAACUCGUAAUAACAAAGACGAGGGAAGAAAAUAAUCUAAUUAAUACAACAACAUAUGCAACCAAACGCAGUUUAACUUUUCUUAAUGCUUCUUCAUCCGGUUCCUGAAAAGGUAAAGCUGUAGGGGGUGAGAACCUAACCA